UCUAGUGUUGACAAAAGCAUGACGUUUCCAAAGAUGCUUUUUUUUUCAGGUGAUAUAGAGGUUUGCAGGGGCACCAUCAAAGAAACAGCGCUUCCUGCACCGUACCAGUUACAAUACAUAUAAACUCAGCAGCAACUUCAGCACUCUCAAAUCGGCUAUAUAUAGCAGGGUUCUCUACAGGCUGCAUCCCACAGUUAUAUCCAGGCUCUGGUAAAACUGGAGGAUUUUGUACACAUUCUGCCAGGACAGACAGAAGGACUCUUGGGUUGCAAUACAUGCUUCUGAAAUUUUACGAGGAGGCUAAAAGAUGAGGGGAGUCAUGAGGCUAUCUGUAUUUAAAGCUCUUGUUAUGUGCAUCGCCUGCGGAGCAAGUGCAUGGGUAGUGACCAAUUCCACUGACACGUUGUCAGCACCAAGGAAUGCCACUGACAUCGGCUCAGCUUUGAAACAUCAUUUGGACUCUGCGAAUAUCCACAAAACUAGACGGAGGCGAUACAUUUCCCAGGACGAUAUGAUUGCUAUUCUCGAUUACCACAAUAAAGUUCGAGGCAAAGUCUUCCCACCUGCUUCAAACAUGGAGUACAUGGUGUGGGAUGAGAAUCUUGCAAAGUCAGCUGAAGCCUGGGCAGCCACGUGCAUUUGGGAGCAUGGACCUCAAUAUCUUUUGAGAUUCUUGGGCCAGAACUUAUCUGUGAGAACCGGACGGUAUGUACAAAAAACAUAUUUGUCUGACUAUAAAACUGACCACAGACCCUACAUUAAGUGUACUUGGGCCAAGUUGAACUUAGCUUACUUCCAAGAUUCAGAUUGAAGUACUCUUGGCCUGAGAUGAAAGAUAUGUAGAACCAAACUUUAAAACCACACAAUUCCUGCAUACUCCAAGUAUUGU